GAUGAACGCUGGCGGCGUGCCUAAUACAUGCCAGUCGAGCGAACAGACGAGGAGCUUGCUCCUCUGACGUUAGCGGCGGACGGGUGAGUAACACUUGGAUAACCUACCUAUAAGACUGGGAUAACUUCGGGAAACCGGAGCUAAUACCGGAUAAUAUAUUGAACCGCAUGGUUCAAUAGUGAAAGACGGUUUUGCUGUCACUUAUAGAUGGAUCCGCGCCGCAUUAGCUAGUUGGUAAGGUAACGGCUUACCAAGGCAACGAUGCGUAGCCGACCUGAGAGGGUGAUCGGCCACACUGGAACUGAGACACGGUCCAGACUCCUACGGGAGGCAGCAGUAGGGAAUCUUCCGCAAUGGGCGAAAGCCUGACGGAGCAACGCCGCGUGAGUGAUGAAGGUCUUCGGAUCGUAAAACUCUGUUAUUAGGGAAGAACAAAUGUGUAAGUAACUAUGCACGUCUUGACGGUACCUAAUCAGAAAGCCACGGCUAACUACGUG
rnacentral:rRNA from 1 species